GAUGAUGAACUCCUUGCUCUUUUGCUUCAAAUGAUAGUCUCCCCAACACUCAACUCUCUCUCUUAGCUUUGGCUAUGAUGGAAGAGUGAUUUUAGUGGAAAGCAACUCGGGGAAGGCUAGAAAUCAAGGUUCAAAUGGUACGAAUGGAAUUUCUUGAUCUCAACACAUGAGUAGGCGGUUCUCUCUCAGAAAAUGUAUGGUGGAAGUGUAGGCGCAUUCUGAUAUCUCUCUCUCGAAUGGAGAAGGGGGUGGAGGGGUAUAUAUAGCCUCCACACAAAAUCCAACCAUUACACACAUUUGACUCAUCUCGGUGAGACUGGACGGUUAAACUCGGUGGCACCGAUCAGCUAAAAAAUGUGAAUGUUAGGAAUCUCGGUGGGAUCGGCUGGAACAACUCAGUGGGAUCGAUGUGCUAGGGAUUAGGGCAAACAUCAUCUCAGUGGCACCGAUUGCAUCAACUCGGUGAGACCAAAGUGAAACAAUAAGCAACAAAGAAUCUGUCAAGCCAACUCGGUGAGACCGAAAUAAAUGCAACAAGUCACAAAGCGCUGGCAAGGCCAUCUCGGUGAGACCGAACUGUUAGGGUUUUUGGCAGUGGCUAUGUCAUAUGAACUCGCUGGAUCCAGAUAGAAAGAAUCGAUGGGGCCUAGUUGGAGUUUGGGUUUUGGACAUAUUUUGAUGGAGAAAGUGGCUGAGGGUUUUGGAGCAAUAUCAGUAAGCAUUUGAGCAAGUAGACCAUUAAGCAACACCUCAUCCCCUUCUAAUAGUAUUGGCUUUCCUAUGGACUCGAUGUGAUCUUGGAUCAGUAAAAUAAAGAUGAAGAGUCUUGAGCUUUCGCCAAUCUUUGUCCUUAACAUUUUGAGGGGUCCACAUCUCUAGUCCAUGCCAUGCCAAUCAUUGAACUUCCUAUAAUAUUAUCUUGAGAAUAUAUUAGUUCAAUGAGCUAUAUGUUGUUAUGAAUUACCAAAACCACCCAGGGAUUAGUUGCACUUUCACGUACCAAGGAGAAGACCACGAUGAAAAUGUUGAGUGACUCUCAUAUGCACUAUUGUUGAUCUAACAAAAAGCCCAAAUUAUUUUGUCUUCUUCUCUGAAUAAAAUGUUGCAGAUUCCAGCUUAGUCUAUGACACUCUUGCUCUAUUAUUAUUUUUAUAUCAUUUGGUCGUGCAAGUGAAAGGCAAUAAUGAUGAUAUAUGUUGAAGUGACUGUGGCAGGAAAAGCGGGUAUGAACUCAACUUGUUUUUGAUUUUGUAAAUAUGUUUAACUCAGUAUCCAUGAUUCAGCAUAUUAUGAUUAAACAUGUUUGCAAUGACAGUCAGAGAUUAGAGUUGCUCAUGCCAUGCUUAAGUAGCUAGGAGUGGAUAAUGAUUUAUCUUGAGUGUUAACAUGCAUUAAAAUGAUUGUGAUGUAGUAUGAUGACAUUGUAUCCUCCUCUGAAUGUUUCAAGUGGCUUGACUAGGCACAUGUUCACGCAUGUAGUUGAAUCGAAACCAACAUAGCCUCCACAAUAUUUAUGUUCAUGGUGUUUAUAUACUACCCAUGCUGGUAUUCAGUGUUGAUUAUUCAUAAUGCAUGAUCAUGACCGUUUUUGCUCUCUAGUUGGUCGCUUCUCAACCUAAUUGCUAGCCUUCGCCUAUGCUAAGCGGGAAUACUGCUUGUGCAUCAAAACCCUUAAACCGAAGUUAUUUCAUAUGAGUCCACUAUCCACCUAUAUGCGGUAUUACCUUGUCGUUCUAAGUAAUUUGCAUGUGCCACCUCUAAAUAUUCAAAUGAACAUCUGUUUUUCGUGCCCGGACCGCUCAUGGAGCGACAUGGGGUGGUCAGUAUCUUCCAUGCUAGGCGGGUUAUUCUCAUGAUGAGUGUUUAUUCACCCGUCCUUGCAUGAGAGGGAUUGGUAAUAGGGAUGCCCAGUCCCGAAAUAAAAAAUUACAAAUAAUUAAACAAAACUCCCCCAAACCAUUGUUGGUAUGGAGGGCACCCAAGGAUUCGGCUAGCCAUGGAUUGUGUUUGUUGGUGGAGGGGGAGUAAAUUUUACUUAUGUCGCUUAGGAACCGCCGGUAAUGUGUUUAGCAUGGAAGAUAUUGAAAACUCUUGGUCGUGACAUUGACAGGAAGGGUAUGCCUCCCAAAAUUAUAUUUAUCUCUAAUUUAAACCUCGAGCUCUGGCACCUAUGCAAAUCCCUACUUCCCUCUAUGAAGGGACUAUCCAUUUACUUUUAUGUUAUUUUACUUUUAUGUUGAGUCAUCACCUUCUCAAACAAGCACCAGUCCUGAGAGCACUAUUGUCAUCCUCAUGCAUUGUGUAUAGUUAAUGUUGAAUGCAUCAUGACUGGAUCUCUUCUACCAUGAAUUACAAUGUUUAGUCACUGCUUGAACUUUGGAGGUGCUCUCCAUUUAUGUUUUGCGGUCUUAGAAAGGGCUAGCGACAUACCACGCAUACCCCCUGGCGCGCCCAUGUGGCUUGUGGCGUACUCCUUCGCCUUCUAGCCUCCUCCCAAAGCUUCUAGGGUCUCUUAUGUCCAAAAAAAUCGUCAAAAAGUUUUGUGGCAUUUGGACUUCGUUUGGUACAGAAUUCCUGGAAAACCAAAAACAGGCAAAAAACAAUAACUGACACUUGACAUUAAGUUAAUAGGUUAAUCCCAAAAAUGAUAUAAUAUUGCAUAUAAAACAUCCAAGAUUGAUAUUAUAAUAGCAUGGAACAAUAAAAAAAGUAUAGAUACGUUGGAGACGUAUCAGUAGCAUAAACAUCAUCUAUUAUGAUACCCUUGAGCGGAUGAAUUUGUCAGAAAAAAUAGCUCAAACCGUCGUUUACGGUGUUUCACAGGAUAGUUCCCAGCAAGUCGACAUAUCCUAUUGGGAAAAUUUCUUUGGAGGUCGCUUUUGGAACCGAGUUCAACUACAGGACUGAAUAUCUGAAGUUUGAGGUCGUCAAGAUUAAAAGUCCUUACUAUGCCCUGUUCGGAUGGCCGGCUUACGCACGCUUCAUGGCACGUCCUUGCUAUGUGUAUCUGAAACUGAAGAUGCUAGGGCCUAAGGGUACUAUCACUGUUAAUGGUGAUAGGAAAAUUGUGCUUGAGUGUGAAGGCGACGCUGCUUAUGCUAAGUCAGACUAUGCAGCUAAAGAGUUGAAGUUUUACAAGGACAACGUUGACCCGGUUGACGUGACUUCCCUGGAAAAUCUUACUACCAAGUCUGACCCCCUGCUCAAGUUCAAGUCAGCUGAGGAUACAAAGCAGGUCGACUUCACUCUUGGUGACUCAUCAAGUUCAUCCAUGAGAAUCGAGACAUUUUUGCAUGGAAACCUUUCGAAAUGCCUGGUGUAUAGAGAGAAAUCGCUGAGCACUGCCUAAAUGUUGAUCCAAAGAUGAAGCCUGUCUGACAACACCUCUGUCGUUUUAACGAGGAGAGACGCAAGACUAUUGGUGAAGAGGUGGCUUGGCUCCUAGCUGUCGGGUUCAUCGUUGAGGUUUUUCACACAGAGUGAUUGGCUAACCCAGUGCUUGUUCUGAAGAAAAAUGGUACUUGGCGAAUGUGUGUUGAUUACACAAAUUUGAACAAGGCUUGUCCCAAGGAUCCAUUUUCUCUUCCUCGCAUUGAUCAGAUUAUUGACUCUACCGCUGGCUAUGAGUGUUCCUGUUUCCUGGACGCUUACUCUGAUAUCAUCAGAUUAAUAUGGUAGAUAAAGACCAUGAGAAGACAACCUUUAUCUCACCCUUUGGAGCUUUCUGUUAUACGUCCAUGUCGUUUGGACUGGAGAGUGCUGGAGCCACUUAUCAGCACUAUGUGCAGAAUUAUUUCCACAACCAGAUUAGACGCAAUGUUCAUGCUUAUGUUGAUGAUAUCAUGGUCAAGUCUCAGAAGAAAGAAACCGUGCUUGGCGAUCUAAAGGAGACGUUAAACAAUCUCUGAGUUUACCAAAUGAAGCUUAACCCAGCAAAAUGUGUGUUCGGUGUUCCUGCAGGUAAACUGCUGGGCUUUUUGUUGUUAGAGCGAGGUGUCGAAGCCAACCCGGACAAAAUCAAAUCCAUCACAACGCUCGCCAAGCCGGUGAACAUCAAUGCCGUCCAAAAGUUGACGGGUUCUGUGGCGGCUUUGAGUUGAUUUAUGAGCUUACUUGGGGUGAGGGCGAUUCCUUUGUACUAGCUGCUCAAGAAAACAAACAAUUUCGUUUGGGGAGAUGUAGCAGAUAAAGCUUUCAAGCUCCUUAAGAAGAAAUUAUCAGAACCACCUAUGCUUGUUGCUCCACAUGACAAAGAUACGAUGCUCCUGUACAUUGCUGCCAAUAAUAAAGCGGUAAGUGUGCCAGUAGUCAUGGAACACAAUGAAGAGGGAAAUGAAUAUCCAAUUCAAAGGCUAGUUUAUUAUGUGAGUGAAAUUCUGACCGAGUCAAAACAACAAUAUCCAGACUGACAGAAACUGUUUUUUGGUGUUUUCAUGGCCAGCCACAAAUUGAAGCACUAUUUCCAGGAGCACCCUAUCAUUGUGGUCAGUUCAGCACCUCUGGGAGAUAUCAUCCAGAAUAGGGAGGCUACAGGCUGGAUUGCCAAGUGGGUUAUCAAGCUUGGUCCCCAUCAUCUGAAGUAUGCGCCUCAUACAUCUAUCAAAUCUCAGGCUUUGGUGGAUUUCAUCAACGACUGAAUUGAGUUACAAGUCCCCAAAGAGAAGCCGGACAAUACAUGCUGGAUAAUACACUUUGAUGGUUCCAACCAAUUGGAAGGUUCAGGGGCCGGAGUUGUCUUAACUUUGCCACGAGGUGAUAAAUUUUGUUAUGUUUUGAGACUCAUGUUUCCCUGUACUAACAACGCAGCUGAGUACGAGGCUUUGCUUCAUGGGCUUCAUAUGGCUAAGGAAAUGAACCUCAGCCAGGUCACGUGUUUGGGCGACUCAUAUUUAGUUGCUCAACAUGUCUCUGGAACUUGGGGCUCUAAAGAUCCUCUCAUGGCGGCUUACAAACACGUUGUUACAUUCAUCGUCAUUUCAAAGGAUACCAAGUUGAUCACAUUGACCGCCAACUCAAUGAGGCAGCAGAUGCACUGUCUCGCCUGGGAUCUCAACAUAAGCCUAUUACACCAAUUUUUUCCUGGAUGUUUUGCAUAACCCGUCUGUCAAACUACCGACGGAGGAAGAUAUUGCUGUUCUUGACCUGGAGGCAGCUCUUGUUGCAUCUGUCCCUACGACACUAGAUUGGACAAUACCUUACCUGGCUUAUCUUACUCGUGGCGAGCUCCCUGAAGAGGAAAUCAUCGCCCGUCUGAUUAUCAGGAGGUCUAAGUCUAUGACUAUAGUCAAUGGCAAGUUACAUAGGAGAAGUAUUACAUGUGUUUUCAGCGUUGUGUUUCUCCUACGGAUGGCCAUGAUAUUCUCAAUGAAAUUCAUUUUGGCAAUUGUGGUCAUCAUGCCAGCUCAAGGGCUUUGGUCGUGAUGGCUUUUAACAUGGCUCUUACUGGCUCACAACUUAUGCAGAUGUAGAGGACAUAGUUCACAAAUGUGAUGGAUGUGAGAAAAUUGCACGUCAGGCUCAUGUGCCGGCUCAAGAACUUCGGAUGAUCCAUGCAUGGGGGCUGCUGGCGAAAAGGAGACUAGAUCGAGACACCCCUUGCUAAUCCUUCACAACCCAGACCACUAAGGCGAUAGGGGAUACCAGAUCGCCCUUUGGUCAGCCCGAGCGAAACAAACAGAGAAGGAUCCAGAUAAGGGGGAAAGAAAGGGUCUUAACAUCGAUCAACGGUGAGUAAGAGGAACAAGAAACCCUAAGGUGUCAAAAAAGGGAGACGAGGUUUGGUGGGAGAACCCUAUUUGGUUGCGACAAAGUGUCGACCCUUCAUAUGGAGAGGAGUGACCGAGCAACACACUAGGUUAACCCAUUAGCUAGCACAAGGGCAAGUUUCGUGUACAUUUUUUCUAUCGGUUUUGGGGACCUUCUUCUAGAAGGUUCUUGAACAGGGUUUUUAAUGUUAGGUUUCUUUUCAACUAUUUUUCUAGUUUCUUUUGGUUUUCUAUUUAUCAAUUUUUUUCAUGAAUUAUCAAUUUGCAAAAAAUGUUUGGAAUAUUUGAAAAAUUGAAUUUUUUUUGUGUUUUAUCAUUUUUUUGUUUCAAAUUUUACCCAUGGAAUAUUCAAAUUUUACCCAUGGAAUAUUCAAAUUUUGUUCAUAAAAAUGUCAUGAAUUUCAUUUUUUGUUCAUGUUUUCAAAAACACUUUCCGUUUAAAAAACUGUUUGGAAUUUCAAAUUUUGUUCACUUUUUCCAAAAAGUGGUCAAAAUCUUCAAUUGCUGCUCACAAUUUCAAAAUUUAUUUGCUUUUUGGAAUUUCAAUUUUUUUCACGUUUUUCAAAAAAGUUUACUUUUAGAAAAUGUUCAGAAUUUCAAAAUUUUGUUCGCAGGAGGUCCCGUUUGGUGGGACUUGCGAUGGAAUUUCAUUUGCUGAUUGGGCUAACUUUUCGUUACAUGUGGGUAACGCAACCAUCUGUGGGAUGGGCCUAAAGAACGACGGGUUUUGGCCCAAAGCACACUACUCUCGCUCUGGCGUUAGUCGCGUCCAAAUCCUCACGCUGCCGUCAGCCCUAGCCGUUUUUCCCCACCUCACGAGCUCUCACCACCCACGAACAAACCCCUCGCAGCCGUCCGAUCCUCCGCCACGUCAUGGAUCCGCGUGCCUGUUCUUGUACCCAACGACCAGGAUCUGUGCUGGCCCAUCCGCCCAAACCUAGAGGCCUCUCGGCCCUCUUGUUCUUCCCCGCCGGCUACAAAUCGCCCAAAAUUUCCCCUGAAUUUUCCACAACCACAACACCAACUUAAACCAGAGGCGAAAUUUUCUCGCGAGAGUUCGUGUGUAGUAGAGGAGUUGAGGAGAUGAAGCCGGCGGUUGAAGGUGACGAGCGUGCGGCGGAGAUCGCCCGCAUCAAGGCUGCCGCGGCCGCCGCCAAAAAGGCGGCGGAAGAGGUGGUGGAUGUGGACGAUGAGGGUGAGGACGACGAGGGAGAUGAGGAGGAGGAGGCGGUUGACGGCGACGACGACGACGACGACGACGAAGUCGACGACGAUGGGGAAGAGGACGAGGACGAGGGGGUGGAGGGUGAGGAUAAGGGGUCGGCGGCGCAGCAGGUGGUCGACAUCUCCGACGAGGACGACGACGGCGGUGAUGAAGAGGAGGGCGGUGACGAUGAUGACGACGACGACGACGACGACGAUGACGAGGAGGAUGACGACGAAGUCGACGAGGAGGAAGAGCCCGAGGUAUAAAUUUCUCAUCAUCUUGUAUUUUUUUCGUCAUCUCAAAUAUAUGCCAUCUCAGUACUUUCGGUUACGUUUACUCCAUGAACAUUUACUUCCGUCAUGUUAGAGAAAUUCCAGAUCUGUCUUCAGAUCUUGUCGAUACAUGCUUUCCUCAAAGAAACCGGAUUUCUCGUGGCUGUCGAUUAAUGUGUUUAGAUCUUGAAAAAAGCACGCAGGACAGUUGCAUCUGGCUAGUUAGAUAGAUUUAGAAAUCGGGAUUUGUUCUUUUGCUCAACCUGCAGCUUUUUCUGCUCUGUGUUCGUUUAGAUCUUGUCGACUUUACUCUGCUAUACCGUUCAACCUUUACCUGUCCUUCCAUUGUGUGGUAGUUGACAUUCAAUUGGCAUAUCCACCGGCCGUCCGUUGUUGUGUGGUUUGCAGUGUAGCCCAUCAGAUCAGAACCACGCCCCUUUUCCGAGAAUAGUCAAGGGCAAAGUAUAUGUCCUCUUUGAUAUACUUGCUAUAUUUAGUUGUUAAACGAAAAAAAAUAAUCCUUGUUAAGGGAUGGUUUUCCAUCUGAGCUGUUACCCUAUAAGCCACACAAUAGAGAUGGGGCUACGAUAUGCCAUCUAUGAAUUAUCUUACUGUAUUAGAUCUGCCUUGUGGUCUUCCAAGGUAUCUUGUUUGCAGGAAAUCUCACUAUUUCCCACUCAGAUCCAAAGCCACCUAGAUAUGCAACCAAUUUGGAUAGUGGGCUUAGUUCUCGUUUCUCACACAGAUCCAAAUACACACACACACACACACACACACACACACACACACACACAUAUGCAAAGUAUUUAGUGUAGAUCUGUCAGAUUUGAUAGUAGGCCUUCUUUCCAGCCCUGUCCAUGUGUGAUUGGAGAUGAGGAUCAUCAGAGGCUGUUUCUGAGGAUGUGCCUAGGGCUCGUCCUAUGUUGCACAUUUACUGAUUUGCCUAUCUGAUCCAAACCACUAGUCAAACACUUACAUUUUCAUUUCUUUAUUUUGUUGAGGAGGUGAUGAACAUCAGAGGCUGUUUCUGAGGAUGAGCCUAGAGCUCUUACUAUGUUGCAAAAUAGCUGAUUUGCCUAUCUGAUCCAAAGCACUAGUCAAACACUUUCAUUUUCUUUUCUUAAUUUUGCUGAGGAGAUGAUGAAUAUCAGAGGCUGUUUCUGAGGAUGAGCCUAGAGCUCUUCAUAUGCUGCAAAAUAACUGNNNNNNNNNNNNNNNNNNNNNNNNNNNNNNNNNNNNNNNNNNNNNNNNNNNNNNNNNNNNNNNNNNNNNNNNNNNNNNNNNNNNNNNNNNNNNNNNNNNNNNNNNNNNNNNNNNNNNNNNNNNNNNNNNNNNNNNNNNNNNNNNNNNNNNNNNNNNNNNNNNNNNNNNNNNNNNNNNNNNNNNNNNNNCAAAGCACUAGUCAAACACUUUCUAUUUUCUUUUUUCUUUUGCCAAGGAGAUGAUGAAUAUCAGAGGCUGUUUCUGAGGUUGAGCCUAGAGCUCUACUAUGUUGCAAAAUAACUGAUUUGCCUAUCUGAUCCAAAUUACUAUUCACACACUUUCAUUUUCUUUUCUUUAUUUUGCCGAGGAGAUGAUGAAUAUCAGAGGCUGUUUCUGAGGAUGAGCCGAGCUCUACCUAUGUUGUAAAAUUACUGAUUUGCCUAUCUGAUCCAAAUUACUAUCCAAAUACUUUAUAUUUUCUAUUUUAUUUUGCCUAGGAGAUGAUGAAUAUCAGAGGCUGUUUCUGAGGAUGAGCCUAGAGCUCUCCAUAUGUUGCAAAAUAACUGAUUUGCCUAUCUGAUCCAAAGCACCACUAGGUAGAAGUUUUUUUUUUGGGGCUACUGGUGAGAAGCUGUAUGUAGGCUAUGCUUGCUAUCUUGGCUGUUUUGUCAAAAUUUGUUUUACCUUCAUUUGGGAAAUGAUGAUUAAUUCUUCAGAUAUGUCCUAAACGGGCUUUUAAAAGAAUGGUGACAAAUUGCACGUCAGUCUGAUCCCCUAUGGUUUUAAACUAAUUUUUUAGUAGUAUUCACUUUUAUUUGGGAAAUGAUGAUUAUUUCAUCUCAGAUGUCCUUUACGGAUUAUUCAGAAUGAUGAGAAAUUGCACGUCAGUCUGAUCCCAAACUGUAGUUAAACUGUUAAUUUAUAUUGAUCUGUCACUAGUUGAUUUAUGUUGGUGAUUGUCCACCAAAUAAUUGGUUUGCCCUUCUCAUCUGUGAUGAACAUUCCUAUAAUAGUCAACUAGCAUCGUUGUGAGCAGUCAAACUAAUUUAGACCCUUGCACUGUUGUUUGGCAGGAGGAGCUAGGAACUGAAUAUCUGGUGCAGCCGCUUGGCCGUGCUGAAGACGAAGAGCAUUCCAGUGACUUCGAGCCAGAAGAAAAUGGUGAUGGUGCUGAGGACGAGGAGAUUGAGGAUGACGAUGCUGAGGAUGGUGAGGAUCCUGUCAAGGCGCAAUCCUCAUCAAAGAGGAAGAGGUCUGGUGGGGAGGAUGAAGAUGAUGACGACGGUGAUGAUGAUGGUGAUGAUGAUGAGAAGCCUCCAUCAAAGCGAUAGUCAAUUUGUUCGUGCUGAUCUGUGAUCUUCUCUGCUUGGGCCAAGAAGGAAAAUAAUCCUCAUGGAGAGGAUUGUUGGUAAAUGCUGUAGCUUUAGGACAUCUGUGGUAGGUGUAGCAGCUCAAACUUGAGUCUACCCAUGUUAGUUGUUAGUGCAUACUGCUGAUGUUGAUUAACAGCCUCCGGGAACUUCUGUAUGAGCAUUAGAUAUGGGGCUUGUUAUAUGCUUGUGUAGCUUCUGAUUAAAACCUUUGGAAUGUGGAUGCUCUGUUCUGAAU
rnacentral:lncRNA from 1 species